ACGAGCUUCCGUUGAAUGACGUGCUUGCACUGAUUUCAACAAUGAACCUAGUGGCGAACUGGUGAGUAACACGUGGGAAAUCUGCCCCGAAGCAGGGGAUAACACUUGGAAACAGGUGCUAAUACCGUAUAACAACAAAAUCCGCAUGGAUUUUGUUUGAAAGGUGGCUUCGGCUAUCACUUCUGGAUGAUCCCGCGGCGUAUUAGUUAGUUGGUGAGGUAAAGGCCCACCAAGACGAUGAUACGUAGCCGACCUGAGAGGGUAAUCGGCCACAUUGGGACUGAGACACGGCCCAAACUCCUACGGGAGGCAGCAGUAGGGAAUCUUCCACAAUGGACGAAAGUCUGAUGGAGCAAUGCCGCGUGAGUGAAGAAGGGUUUCGGCUCGUAAAACUCUGUUGUUAAAGAAGAACACCUUUGAGAGUAACUGUUCAAGGGUUGACGGUAUUUAACCAGAAAGCCACGGCUAACUACGUGCCAGCAGCCGCGGUAAUACGUAGGUGGCAAGCGUUGUCCGGAUUUAUUGGGCGUAAAGCGAGCGCAGGCGGUUUUUUAAGUCUGAUGUGAAAGCCUUCGGCUUAACCGGAGAAGUGCAUCGGAAACUGGGAGGCUUGAGUGCAGAAGAGGACAGUGGAACUCCAUGUGUAGCGGUGGAAUGCGUAGAUAUAUGGAAGAACACCAGUGGCGAAGGCGGCUGUCUAGUCUGUAACUGACGCUGAGGCUCGAAAGCAUGGGUAGCGAACAGGAUUAGAUACCCUGGUAGUCCAUGCCGUAAACGAUGAGUGCUAAGUGUUGGAGGGUUUCCGCCCUUCAGUGCUGCAGCUAACGCAUUAAGCACUCCGCCUGGGGAGUACGACCGCAAGGUUGAAACUCAAAGGAAUUGACGGGGGCCCGCACAAGCGGU
rnacentral:rRNA from 1 species